AAAUUGAAGAGUUUGAUCAUGGCUCAGAUUGAACGCUGGCGGCAGGCCUAACACAUGCAAGUCGAACGGCAGCACAGAAGAGCUUGCUCUUUGGGUGGCGAGUGGCGGACGGGUGAGUAAUGUCUGGGAAACUGCCCGAUGGAGGGGGAUAACUACUGGAAACGGUAGCUAAUACCGCAUAACGUCGCAAGACCAAAGUGGGGGACCUUCGGGCCUCACACCAUCGGAUGUGCCCAGAUGGGAUUAGCUAGUAGGUGGGGUAAUGGCUCACCCAGGCGACGAUCCCUAGCUGGUCUGAGAGGAUGACCAGCCACACUGGAACUGAGACACGGUCCAGACUCCUACGGGAGGCAGCAGUGGGGAAUAUUGCACAAUGGGCGCAAGCCUGAUGCAGCCAUGCCGCGUGUAUGAAGAAGGCCUUCGGGUUGUAAAGUACUUUCAGCGGGGAGGAAGGCGGUGAGGUUAAUAACCUCGCCGAUUGACGUUACCCGCAGAAGAAGCACCGGCUAACUCCGUGCCAGCAGCCGCGGUAAUACGGAGGGUGCAAGCGUUAAUCGGAAUUACUGGGCGUAAAGCGCACGCAGGCGGUCUGUUAAGUCAGAUGUGAAAUCCCCGGGCUUAACCUGGGAACUGCAUUUGAAACUGGCAGGCUUGAGUCUCGUAGAGGGGGGUAGAAUUCCAGGUGUAGCGGUGAAAUGCGUAGAGAUCUGGAGGAAUACCGGUGGCGAAGGCGGCCCCCUGGACGAAGACUGACGCUCAGGUGCGAAAGCGUGGGGAGCAAACAGGAUUAGAUACCCUGGUAGUCCACGCCGUAAACGAUGUCGACUUGGAGGUUGUGCCCCUGAGGCGUGGCUUCCGGAGCUAACGCGUUAAGUCGACCGCCUGGGGAGUACGGCCGCAAGGUUAAAACUCAAAUGAAUUGACGGGGGCCCGCACAAGCGGUGGAGCAUGUGGUUUAAUUCGAUGCAACGCGAAGAACCUUACCUGGCCUUGACAUCCAGAGAACUUAGCAGCGAUGCUUUGGUGCCUUCGGGAACUCUGAGACAGGUGCUGCAUGGCUGUCGUCAGCUCGUGUUGUGAAAUGUUGGGUUAAGUCCCGCAACGAGCGCAACCCUUAUCCUUUGUUGCCAGCGGCUCUGCCGGGAACUCAAGGGAGACUGCCGGUGAUAAACCGGAGGAAGGUGGGGAUGACGUCAAGUCAUCAUGGCCCUUACGGCCAGGGCUACACACGUGCUACAAUGGCGCAUACAAAGAGAAGCGACCUCGCGAGAGCAAGCGGACCUCAUAAAGUGCGUCGUAGUCCGGAUUGGAGUCUGCAACUCGACUCCAUGAAGUCGGAAUCGCUAGUAAUCGUAGAUCAGAAUGCUACGGUGAAUACGUUCCCGGGCCUUGUACACACCGCCCGUCACACCAUGGGAGUGGGUUGCAAAAGAAGUAGGUAGCUUAACCUUCGGGAGGGCGCUUACCACUUUGUGAUUCAUGACUGGGGUGAAGUCGUAACAAGGUAACCGUAGGGGAACCUGCGGUUGGAUCACCUCCUUACCUGAA
rnacentral:rRNA from 1 species